UACGGAAGGCAGCAGUGGGGAAUAUUGGACAAUGGGCGAAAGCCUGAUCCAGCCAUGCCGCAUGAGUGAAGAAGGCCUUCGGGUUGUAAAGCUCUUUUAGUGAGAAAGGUAAUGACGGUACUCACAGAAGAAGUCCUGGCUAACUCCGUGCCAGCAGCCGCGGUAAUACGGAGAGGGCUAGCGUUAUUCGGAAUUAUUGGGCGUAAAGAGCGCGUAGGCUGAUUAGUAAGUUAAAAGUGAAAUCCCAAAGCUUAACUUUGGAAUUGCUUUUUAAAACUGCUAGUCUAGAGAUUGAAAGAGGAUAGAGGAAUUCCUAGUGUAGAGGUGAAAUUCGUAAAUAUUAGGAGGAACACCAGUGGCGAAGGCGUCUAUCUGGUUCAAAUCUGACGCUGAGGCGCGAAGGGCGUGGGGAGCAAACAGGGAUUUAGAUACC
rnacentral:rRNA from 1 species